UGCCACCACCUGUCAGCGCCUCACCUGCUUGUUGGUGGCGUUGAUGAGUGUGGCACGCUGGCCGGGACAAGUGGACGCCAUGUUUAACUCGCAUUCCCUGCAGCCCCCAGCCUCCUCCUCACACUGGGGUAACAACACAAAGAGUGUCCAGCGCCACAUGGAAGAGGAUGUCCCAGGUCUGUUCCUCCUCCCUCAGACGAGUGUGGACCUUCUGCAGCCGCUCAUACAGGAAGAGGCCCAGGCAGGGAUGUGGAUGUGCCCCUUGGCCUCACAGCGCCGGAUACCAGCGUACAGGGCAGCUACGUAGCCCUUCUCCUUGCUGCCUGCCUCCACGCCACCACCGUCCUGACCCACCAGGAUGUCAAAAGCCCGGUGGACCUGAGAAAGGGUGCAGAUUAGUAAAGAACCGGUGCUUGCGGAGGUAGUUGUCAAGUGUGGCCAGCAGCUGGUCGGGGCACACCAAGGUGACGGUCUCACGGCAUGUGGUGUCCAUGACGUCCCACACCUCCCGCCACGACCGCCCCCCCGGCCGGCACCGCACCCCCUCCAUGGAGUGCAACACACAGCGACCCGACUUCUUCAGCUUGGGAAUGUUGUCCAGCAUUGCACUUAGGGACAGGCUGAGGGAGGCAGGAAGGUGGAGGAAGUAGUAAAAGAUUGCUGUAUGUCUCUGUUUCUUUAAAAUGUUGAUGUGCUGAGCAAAUAAUAAUUCAACAAGUAACACGUGAA